AGAAACUCCACAACGCAGCUAAGUAGAAAUGUAUUCCCAGCAGACGGGACUGGAAAAUGUAGCUCUCAUUUAAGCCGUUUUUUCCAAGUGGGGCAGCGUGGUUUCCAAGCAGUUGGUACAUGUCCGUCUUCAAGCCGGUUCCAGUCAACUAUAAUGCAGUAAAAAGGAAAUGCUGGCAAUUUCAACAAAAUGAAACAACGUGAACGCAACUAGGCUUGAGCUGGUCAAAGCUCAUGGCAGUUUAACACGUGCUUUAAUCGCUGACGUGAAACUGGAUCUUGGGCUGGAUGGAGGACUGGAAUGGCUUCUUAGUUUCCACGUGUUAUGUGCUACAUUAUUUCAGAAAAUAUGACAAAGUUUUAAAAUUCAAAU